rnacentral:lncRNA from 1 species
UUGACAAUCAUUUGUGAAUGUUGAUUCAAAAUAACACCUUAAUUUUUUAUUUUUUUUGAAAUAUAAACGACCGGGCUUUUAUAAUAAGUGAAAUUAAAACUUCCCAGAGUGGGCCUUAGACCUGCCCAACAACUAGAGAAGACAAAAGUCUCAAAACAGGGAAAAGCAAACAGUUUAAAUAUCCUAAAACUUAAACAAAAGAAAAUAGAAACCGACAGCAAUAAUUACUAAAUCUUGAAAAAUGAAAAACCUACUUAAUCCAGUCAUUUCAACAAUGGCUGUAAUCCAUUAUUACUAAAUGAAUCGUCACUUCAAUCCUUUCCAACCGUUCAGUCGAUAGCUUUGUUCAAAAACAUAGUCGUUCAUAGCUAUCAUCCAAACCCAUUCCUCUCUAGCAUCUUCUAGUCUUGUCUUCUUGCCCAGCGUCCUUCAGAAAGUAGAUCAAGCGAACUUUGGUUUUCUUGCAUCCGGUAAGAGAUUAUUCCACUUUCUAAGACUUCUUUUGCUAACUGAUGGGCAUGCAUGUUUUAUUUUCUGGGAAUAUACUUGAACUUUAUUGUUUGAUAAUGGGCACACUUAUCUUGAAUAUCUCGAAUGAUUGCUCCAAUGACUGACUUAUCAACUUCUGUUGUUUGGCAUUUCCUGAUUACUGUCUUUGAAUCCCCUUUGAUUUGUGAAUCUCUAAAGCCCAUUAAGAUUCCUAACUUAAUUGCUUCCAAUCCUGCAUAUGCUUCUGCCGCGAACGGAGAUGGAACAUAAUUGUGGAGGACUGUCUUCGUUGCCAGUUUUUCAUUCCUACAACCCCAAACCACCACCCCAGAAGCAGAUCUGAAAUUUCUCUUGUCGUACGCUUCGUCGAAGUGUAUCUUUACUAUUGGUAAGCUGUCUGUACAUCUGUGUCUUCGAGUCAAAUCUGGUGAAUCCAGCUUUAUUCUUAUCCCAUCUUGUUCAGCCUUGUAACUUAGAAUCUUUUGUGCAAGUUUUCUUCCUGAGAUGAAUAUCCGUUCGUGAACUAGCUGGUUUCUUGAGUACCAUAUUAGCCAUAAGACAUAACAAAAAAGUCGACUCUGCUCCUCUGUUCCCUGCUGGAAUACCCAGGUAAGCCAUUACCAAAACUCAGAUAUUGAGUUAUUGGUAACCCAUGCUAGAUCUAAAAUUUGCCAAACUUCUAAACUUGUAGGGCAAUGUCUGAAAGUGUGAGAGCAGUCUUCAUCUCCCAAACCACAUCGUAUGCAGCAAACAUUCGUGAUCACCCUUUUACUUCUGAGGUUUAUAAGCGUGGGCAAAUAAUUCCAGGAAGCACGCCAAACUGUAAUUGCGAUUUUUGUAGGAAGUUGUAGGCUCCAUAAUUUGCUGUAAAAUUUUUUAGAUUCGGUCUGUAAUAAAAUACUACUAGGAUCUAGUGAAGAAUCCUGUAAUAGUUUAUAGGCACUCCGUACGGAGAAUUCUCCCGAUUGUUCUCCCUUCCAGACUUGAGAAUCAGCAUGGCUUGUUUCUGCAAGAGGAAUCUGCAAAAUUCUUUGAGCAAUCUCUUCUGGAACUUUCAAUAAGAGCCGAGACUUUGCUUUCCAUUUUCGACUCGAACUUUCAAUAAGAGCCGAGACUAACUCCAAUUCCUCAUUUACUGUGCAUCUCUGUCUAUCAAUUGUGUCCAUUCCAGGUGCCCAACAAUCAUUCCAAAUUGAUAUCUCUCUCCCGGUUCUUACUCUCCAGCAUAGCCCAUUUGGAAGAAGUCCCUUCGAAGCCCAGAUGCUCCUCUAGGUGAGUGAAGGUAUAUUUCCUAACCUCGCCUCCAUAAAACUUGACUGCGGAUAAUAUUUUGCCUUCAAAACCUUCGCUAGUAAUGAAUUAGGACAAUUUAUCAAUCUCCAACCUUGUUUAGCUAACAAAACUAUAUUAAAUUGGCUAAACUUUCGAAACCCUAAACCCCCAAUUUCCUUCAAACUGCAAAGAUAUUGCCAUUUACACCAAUGAAUACCCUUCUGGCCUCUGCUCUUUUGCCACCAAAAUUUCGUAAUAAUAUUUUCAUUAUCAUCACAUAGAGAUCUCGGUAAUAGGAAGCAAGCCAUCGAGUAGGUUGGGAUUGUUUGUAAAAUAGCUUUUAUAAAAACUUCUUUCCCCCUCUGUGAAAGAUAUUUAGUACUCCAGCUAUCAUAUACGCAUUUUGAUACGAUCUUUCAAGUUUUGAAAGGACGCCUUACUCUUACCCAGCAUAUGCGGCAAUCCUAGAUAUUGUUCUGCUUCCUCCGAGCAUCGAACUGCCAGUAGGCUAUCGACCAAUUGUUUAUCCACUAGUGGAGUAUUUUUACUGAAGAAAACAGUGGAUUUAUCAAAAUUAACCUUCUGACCCGUACAAGCUCUGUAUUCACUUAAAAUUGCCUUAAAUACAUUUGCACCCUAAAUUGUUGCCUCCCCAAAUAAAAUGCAAUCAUUCGCAAAUAACAAGUGCAAAAUUGUUGGCCCACUUCUACUAGCCUUCACCCCUUUUAGUCGCCUUUCUUGCAUCGCUAGUCUCAUCAAACUUGAAAGACCCUUACCAUAUAAAAGAAAUAAGAAUGGACUUAAAGGGUCUCUUGUCUUAAACCUCAAACCUCUAGACGGACGAAAUCUCUCCUCAAUGGAGCCAUUAAUGGCGACUGAAUAGGAAAUAGAAGAAAUACAAUUCAUAAUCCUUUCAACCCAUUUAGGAGCAAACCCCAUUCGUAACAUCACUUUCUUUAAAAAACUCUAUUCAACCCGAUCAUAUGUUUUACUCAUAUUUAGUUUCACUACCAUUAACUCUUUUUUUCCUUGUCUUUUAUUCUUAAGCGUAUUAAGGAUUUCAUAAGCAAUCAAUACAUUGUCUUAUAUCAAUCUUCCUGGUACAAAGGCACUCUGUGCUUCAUCAACACAUUUUCCGAUCACCUUCCGAAACCGGUUCACGAUCACCUUUGCCAAUAUUUUGUAUAAAACAUUGCAUAAACUUAUUGGACGAAAAUGCGACAUAUUAAUGGGAUUAGAGAUUUUUGGAAUAAGCACUAUAUUGGUUGAAUUCAACGAACUAACCUCCAUAUCACCGUUUAGUAUUUGUAAGCAAAAGGUGGUGACUUCUUCUCCAACAAUGUGCUAGCAUUUUUGAUAAAACAAAACUGGAAAAUCUUCCCCUGGUGCUUUUUUUGCCCCCAUCGCGAAUACCACUGCUUGAAUUUCUUCACUGGUAUAUACUGCUGUAAGUCUCUCAUUAUCCUCUUAAGACACACAACAGUCAAUAGCUGACAACACAUGAUCACAAUUACCGCUACCUCUAGCCCGAAAUAAAUCAAUGAAAUAAGAUCUAGCAACAGCCUGUAAUUCAUGCCAAUUCUCAACCUCUCCACCGACGUAAUUCUGUAACUUAUGAAUCCUAUUAUUCCGUUGUUGUGAUGCUGAAUUGUGAAAGAAAGCUGUAUUCCUAUCUCCGAAUUUCAGCCAAUUAAGUCUAGCCCUCUGCUCCCAAUAACGUUCGCCUUUCUUGAUUUCAAAAUUCAGUUGAAUUGUCAUUCCGCCAUGUUUUCUUCAUCUCUAUCGUUUCGCAGUAAGUCAACCAUCUUAUCAGUAAGAAUAUGUCUCUCUCUCCUUUGAUUCACUCGAAUAAUCCCUGCCCAGCGACACAACCCCUUCUUCAGAUUCUCUAACUUCAAAAGCAGCAUUUCGGUAGGGAAUUCUCAUAAAUGUUUGACUUCUGCAAGGAAAGUAUCUUCCAAUACCCACCAAGCUUCAAAUUUGAAAGAAUUGUUCCUUUUUUGUUCAUCAUAUUUCUUCGUAUUAAUCAAAAGAAGACAAUGAUCAGAGAAAGUAUGUACCAAAUGUUGGACCCUAACCUCUGGGAACAUGGAAAUCCAACUAGCCGUAGCAACUCCUCUAUCCAACCUUUCUUGAAUAUUUGUUUCUGGCAAAUUGACUGUUUCCCACGUAAACCAAUUACCAAAAUACCCGAUGUCAAUCAAUUGGCAAACUUCCAAAAGAUGUCUAAAUGACUCCAUUCUUACCUCGUCUCUUGGUAAGCCUCUCUUCUUUUCAAAACCAUACAUAAUCUCAUUAAAAUCCCCACAUACAAACCAAGGAAUAUCCUCACUAGUAACCAAUCUUUUCAACUCCCCCUAAGCUUCAUUCCUAUCUUGUGUAUAGGGAGACCCAUAAAACCCCGUAAAUCUCCAUUUCUCCUUAGUAUCACAGUCCUUGACAAACACAUCAAUGUGCCGCUUAGAAAACGUUCUAAGUGUAAUGUUAACGCCUAUUUUCCAAGCCAAACAUAAACCUCCUCUAGUACCUUCAGCAUCGACCUCAACACCAUUUUGAAAACCAUAACUUCGUCUUACUCGUUCCAUUUGUUUUCCACAGAGUUUCAUCUCCAUAAAUAAGACUAAUUGGGGAAUAUGUAACUUCAGCGUGUGCCGAAGUCGUCGAAUCGUUCAUGGCCUCCCCAAACCACGAACAUUCCAGCUCAAAAUUUUUAUUGUAACCGAUCGACUUACCUCAUGGCAGCCGCCGAUAAUCCAUUGUCAGAACCCAUCCCUUUUUUGGUCCUUGGUGGUAGAGUAGCAUACCCUUCCUUGCUAGAUGAUUCUUCUACCGUACCUCUAGUUCUCUUUUUUCCUUAUUCACCAAAGAUAACCCCCUCCUCUAGGUCAUGCUCCAUGGCAGUUUGCGAGUGAUUCACCUCCAUAUUCCUCUUAGAUUUACCAAACGAUGAUAUCUUCCCUUUUAAGUUAAAGCCCAGAGUUGGAUCAAUGUUUGACCCACGUCCUUCAGCAGAUUCCUCUGUCCAUAUUCGGUUUCCUCAAAGCUUGAUUUCCAUUCCAUUGAUCCUCAUUUUUCCCUUCGCCUUCCUCCCUUAGCCAUAUGCUGGUCAUUGAUAAUGCUCUGCGAGAUUGGGCUCUCAGUGAUAAUCCCAACCGAACUCAGCAACCUCCACUCCCAUAACAUUUUAGCGUCGCAAAAAGAAUUAUUAUGUCCCAACUGUCCACAAUAAAAACAGAAAAGGGAUAGUCGUUCAUAUUUGAACCUAACAUAGGAGCAGCUUCCAUUAUACAUGACCUUUUUUUUCCUCUUUAGCGGACGUUAAUUCUCAUGUGAUUACGUUUUUCUUUCCCUAUACCUGAUGCAUCAUAUUCUACGAAGUUUUCUAGAAAAUUUCCCAUCUGAACUGCCAAGUUUUCAGAGAACAAUCCAAUCGGGACAUCGUGAAUUUGAAUCCAAAAUGGGGAAUUUAUUAAUGGAACUCUUAAUGGAUCCUCCCUUUUUUGUAGAUGAUAUAAAAUCAGCAAGUGAUUAUUAAAAGUCCAGGGUGAAUCUUUUAAAACUCUCUCCAAAUCCAUUAUGUGUAAAAACUGAAAUAAAUACCUUUUUUCUCCCAAAUCCCUAAUUUGAACUCCCUGUACUGGGUGCCACAGAUUAGCCAUCGUACUCUUCAUGGCUGGAAAAUGAAUUAAGCUAGCUAUUAAAAAAUAACCUACCAGUUGGAACUCUUCAUUCCCAGUUACUAAUUGAUCUGUUGGUAUCUGCAAAAUUCCAUCUUCCUCUUCAUUAAGAGAAAGAAUCGCUAAUUCAUUCUCCAUCUCUGCAGGACACGAAGCCUAAUCAUAAGAAUAAACCCUCAGCGUUUUGUAGAUUGACGUCGCACUGAGAUCGCUGGGUAGAACAAGACAAAAAACAAUAAAGAACCCAAAACCUAAAGACUUCUACUAGAGGCGGCAGACGGACAACGUGCUAGGGUAGCAGACAGUAAUCUGAUAUUUAUUAAUGAAUUUACACCUUAAUUUUUUUUAAAUAGUUAAAACAAAUUAAAAUUAAUUGCAAAAAAAAAUACUAAAAAUUCUCUAAAUAAACAAAUGAUCAAAUAUCAAUUUAUUUUCUUCAAUCUGAGAAUACUUUCUUCUUCAAAUAUUUCCUUACAAAAGUAAACACCAUAUGGUCAUAAGUUAAGAAUCCAGACCGGC